rnacentral:lncRNA from 1 species
GAUCUUGUAUCCACUGACUGUCCUGUUAGAUUAACCCAAUAAAUUUCAUUCACUCCGCAUACUCAAUCCUAUAGACACCCCUUUAAUCCUUCAAUCACAGACAUAACUCGAUUUUACAAAAUAGUCAAGAGUAUUCAAACCCACUUCAUUUAAAAAUCCCGAUUCACCAUUACAACACUGACUUCAGCAACGAUUGCCUCAGUCUUCCCAAAACU